GAUGAACGCUGGCGGCGUGCUUAAUACAUGCAAGUCGAACGAAGCACCUUGGGACAGGAAUCCUUCGGGGAGGAAGACCAUUGUGACUGAGUGGCGGACGGGUGAGUAACGCGUGGGUAACCUGCCUUGUACAGGGGGAUAACAGUUGGAAACGACUGCUAAUACCGCAUAAGCGCACAGUACCGCAUGGUACGGUGUGAAAAACUCCGGUGGUACAAGAUGGACCCGCGUCUGAUUAGCUAGUUGGUGAGGUAACGGCCCACCAAGGCGACGAUCAGUAGCCGACUUGAGAGAGUGAUCGGCCACAUUGGGACUGAGACACGGCCCAAACUCCUACGGGAGGCAGCAGUAGGGAAUAUUGCACAAUGGGGGAAACCCUGAUGCAGCGACGCCGCGUGAAGGAAGAAGUAUUUCGGUAUGUAAACUUCUAUCAGCAGGGAAGACAGUGACGGUACCUGACUAAGAAGCUCCGGCUAAAUACGUG
rnacentral:rRNA from 1 species